UACGAAGGGGGCGAGCGUUAUUCGGAAUCACUGGGCGUAAAGCGUGCGUAGGCUGCUCGGAAAGUUGGGAGUGAAAGCCCAGGGCUCAACCCUGGAAUUGCUUUCAAAACUACCGGGCUCGGAUUCGGGAGAGGAUAGCGGAAUUGUCAGUGUAGCAGUGAAAUGCGUAGAUAUUGACAGGAACACCAGUGGCGCAAGCGGCUAUCUGGACCGACAUCGACGCUGAGGCACGAAAGCGUGGGGAUCAAACAGG
rnacentral:rRNA from 1 species